GGUGCUGGAUUCAGGGCAUGACAGAGUGAUAUUAGAGCUUUGGUUUAAGGUCGCUAGGGACUGUAACAUAAGUAAUAUCAAAACUUUGGGUUAUAAUUAAUAGAGUGUGACAGAAUGGUAUCAAAACCUAAGUUAUGAUCAUUUGGGACUAUGACAUAAGUGAUUAGGAUGUGACAGAAUGGUAUUAGAGCUUAAGGUUAUGAUCUCU
rnacentral:lncRNA from 1 species